GGUGUACAGCUGUAGGGAAAGGACAUCCUCAGCAGCUGUGAUAGAGUUGGCGCACAGUAUCCCUGAAAAGAAUCCAGGAUGAAGAGACCUCAUCUGAUCUCACCCUUCCUUCCCUUACUCUCUUGCUCAGUAUUUCCCUUUGGCCAAACUGGAAGCCAGAAGACAAAGCAGACCUUUGAUGUAGUCCAUAUUGGUAAUCUUGGGGUACACAGAUAAGGGAGGAAAGAGGAUGGAGGGAGGCUGGGUACAAAUUGGAGAUAUCUAGAACACCUGAGAUAACUAUAAUUACUCUUGCUAUAUAUCCAUAGAAUUAUGCAUAUUUAUCUAUAAGAAAGAUCAUGCUUUUGACAAUUAGGAUCAGAUUCUACAGUUCUUGUAAGUAUGUUUCUUGACAAAUUGAUAAAAAAGAUAUUCAAACUUAAAACCAGUUUCUUUUUAAAUGACAAUAAAAUGUAAAAACUUUCUAAAUAUUAGGUUAUUGGCAGGGUGCCAACAGGAAACAUCAAGUUAGAUCUUAGCUUUCAUGCUUAAACAUGUAGGAUUUAUCCGUUUUUUUGUUUUGUUUUGUUUUUGUUUUAAUAUGGUACCAGGGAUUGAACUGAGGGGCACUCAACCACUGAGCCACAUCCCCAGCCCUAUUUUGUAUUUUAUUUAGUGACAGGGUCUCACUGAGUUGCUUAGCACCUUGCGGUUGCUGAGGCUAGUUUUGAACUUGCAGUUCUCCUCUUCAGCCUCCCAAUCCACUGAGAUUAUAGGCCUGGUUUUGAACUUGCGGUUCUCCUCUUCAUCCUCCCAAGCCACUGAGAUUAUAGGCGUGAGCCACCACGCCCAGUCAGAAAUAUCCCAUUUUCAAAUUGCCAUAAAAUAACAUACAUAUGACCUAGCAUGCUGGUGGGAAAUCAACUUCAGUUAUUACCAGUGGUUCCCUAUCUCCAUUAGUUGUACAAAUGUUCUAGAGUCUCAACCUAGCAUAAAACCUGAGGAUACCCCUUGUUGUCGGCUGUCUGUCUACAUUGGAAAUAACAUGCCCAUUUUCUGAACAGGCACAAUAUCUUCAGAUCCUUUGUCCCUAAGUGUUCCCAUCCAUCUAUCUGUGUAGGGAGUUCUUUGUCAAGAAUAGACACUGAGGAAUGGGAUAUAUCUCUAUAAUAGAGUACUUACUUGCCUGCCAUUCAUGAGGCCCUAUGUUCGGUCCCCAGCACUGGGGUCCACCAGUCUUCCUGACAUGGAGAAAUGCUCAUAUCUGCUACUAAAAGGGCCUACAAACCCUGACCUCUCUUCUCUUGCUGGCUUCCAGUGCCCUCCAUUCCCAUCCAGGGACACUGGGCUUGAUUUCUUCAAUGAAAACAAUCCUUGUUAAAAUGUAAGAAGUCUUGACUUCAAGCAGCUUCUGCUUCCAGCUGUGUCACAAACAUCCCUUUCCCAGAUCUCUGCUGGAAAUGACAGGAGAUAGAGUAUAUAAUAUGCAUGUUAAUAUCUAAAUGGCUGAUUAUUUAAUGUUUUACAGUUCAUUAUUUUGGC
rnacentral:lncRNA from 1 species